CAGUAGCCGCGGGAAUACAGAGGGUGCGAGCGUUAAUCGGAUUUACUGGGCGUAAAGCGUGCGUAGGCGGCUUUUUAAGUCGGAUGUGAAAUCCCUGAGCUUAACUUAGGAAUUGCAUUCGAUACUGGGAAGCUAGAGUAUGGGAGAGGAUGGUAGAAUUCCAGGUGUAGCGGUGAAAUGCGUAGAGAUCUGGAGGAAUACCGAUGGCGAAGGCAGCCAUCUGGCCUAAUACUGACGCUGAGGUACGAAAGCAUGGGGAGCAAACAGGAUUAGAGACCCGCGUAGUCCCUGUCUCUUAUAC
rnacentral:rRNA from 1 species